GACAGAGGGUGCAAGCGUUGUUCGGAAUUAUUGGGCGUAAAGGGCGCGUAGGCGGCUGAGCAAGUCGAACGUGAAAUCCCUGGGCUUAACCCAGGAAGUGCAUUUGAUACUGCUCAACUUGAGUCCCGGAGAGGGUGGUGGAAUUCCCAGUGUAGAGGUGAAAUUCGUAGAUAUUGGGAGGAACACCGGUGGCGAAGGCGACCACCUGGACGGAGACUGACGCUGAGGCGCGAAAGCGUGGGGAGCAAACAGG
rnacentral:rRNA from 1 species